GAUGAACGCUGGCGGCGUGCCUAAUACAUGCAAGUCGAGCGAAUGGAUUAAGAGCUUGCUCUUAUGAAGUUAGCGGCGGACGGGUGAGUAACACGUGGGUAACCUGCCCAUAAGACUGGGAUAACUCCGGGAAACCGGGGCUAAUACCGGAUAACAUUUUGAACCGCAUGGUUCGAAAUUGAAAGGCGGCUUCGGCUGUCACUUAUGGAUGGACCCGCGUCGCAUUAGCUAGUUGGUGAGGUAACGGCUCACCAAGGCAACGAUGCGUAGCCGACCGGAGAGGGUGAUCGGCCACACUGGGACUGAGACACGGCCCAGACUCCGACGGGAGGCAGCAGUAGGGAAUCUUCCGCAAUGGACGAAAGUCUGACGGAGCAACGCCGCGUGAGUGAUGAAGGCUUUCGGGUCGUAAAACUCUGUUGUUAGGGAAGAACAAGUGCUAGUUGAAUAAGCUGACACCUUGACGGUACCUAACCAGAAAGCCACGGCUAACUACGUGCCAGCCGCCGCUGUAA
rnacentral:rRNA from 1 species